UUACUCUGGUUUCUCUUCAUAGCGCACAAGUCUUUCGCCUUUUACUAAAGACUUCCGUGGAGAGUGACUCCAACGAGUUUAGCCUAUUUUUGGCAGGCUUUGCUCUCUGGCAGAGCCG
ensembl:snRNA U5 U5 spliceosomal RNA